UCCUCCGUGGCGCAAUUGGCCAGCGCGUCUGACUGUUAAUCAGGAGGUUCGUGGUUCGAGCCCACGCGGGGGAG
rnacentral:tRNA from 1 species